rnacentral:rRNA from 1 species
UUCCGUAGGGGGACCUGCGGAGGGAUCAUUACCGAGUUAUACAACUCAUCAACCCUGUGAACAUACCUAUAACGUUGCCUCGGCGGGAACAGACGGCCCCGUAACACGGGCCGCCCCCGCCAGAGGACCCCCUAACUCUGUUUCUAUAAUGUUUCUUCUGAGUAAACAAGCAAAUAAAUUAAAACUUUCAACAACGGAUCUCUUGGCUCUGGCAUCGAUGAAGAACGCAGCGAAAUGCGAUAAGUAAUGUGAAUUGCAGAAUUCAGUGAAUCAUCGAAUCUUUGAACGCACAUUGCGCCCGCCAGUAUUCUGGCGGGCAUGCCUGUUCGAGCGUCAUUACAACCCUCAGGCCCCCGGGCCUGGCGUUGGGGAUCGGCGGAAGCCCCCUGCGGGCACAACGCCGUCCCCCAAAUACAGUGGCGGUCCCGCCGCAGCUUCCAUUGCGUAGUAGCUAACACCUCGCAACUGGAGAGCGGCGCGGCCACGCCGUAAAACACCCAACUUCUGAAUGUUGACCUCGAAUCAGGUAGGAAUACCCGCUGAACUUAAGCAUAUCAAAGGCCCGGAGGAA